rnacentral:rRNA from 1 species
GAUGAACGCUGGCGGCGUGCCUAAUACAUGCAAGUCGAGCGAACAGGCGAGGAGCUUGCUGGUCUGACGUUAGCGGCGGACGGGUGAGUAACACGAGGAUAACCUACCUAUAAGACUGGGAUAAUUUCGGGAAACCGGAGAUAAUACCGGAGAAUAUAUUGAACCGCAUGGUUCAAUGGUGAAAGACGGUUUUGCUGUCACUUAUAGAUGGAUCCGCGCCGCAUUAGCUAGUGGGUAAGGUAACGGCUUACCAAGGCAACGAUGCGUAGCCGACGGGAGAGGGGGAUCGGCCACACUGGAACGUAGGCACGGCCCAUACGCCUACGGUAGGCAGCAGUAGGGAAUCUUCCGCAAUGGUGGGAAGCCUGACGGAGCAGCGCCGCGUGAGUGAUGAAGGUCUUCGGAGCGUAAUGCUCUGUUUUUAGGGAAGAACAAAUGUGGAAUUAACUGUGCACGUCUUGACGGUACCUGGUCAAGAAGCCACGGCUAACUACGUG